rnacentral:rRNA from 1 species
ACGUAGUUAACCUACCCUCGGGAUGGGGAUAACCCCGGGAAACUGGGAUUAAUACCCGCUAAAUGAUAAUACCUGGAAUGGCUUAUCAUUGAAAGACUCUGGAAACAUGCUUCCAGCGUUGCCCAAGGAUGGGACUGCGUCCGAUCAGGUUGUUGGCGGGGUAACGGCCCACCAAGCCUAUAACCGGUACGGGCCCUGAGAGGGGGAGCCCGGAGAUGGAAACUGAGACAAGGUUCCAGGCCCUACGGGACGCAGCAGGCGCGAAACCUCCACAAUGCGCGAAAGCGUGAUGGGGUUAUCCCGAGUGCCGUCCGAUGAGGAUGGCUUUUCCUCGGUGUAAGGAUCCGAGGGAAUAAAGGGGGGGCAAGACUGGUGUCAGCCGCCGCGGUAAUACCAGCUCCCUGAGUGGUAAGGACGAUUAUUUGGCCUAAAGCGUCCGUAGCCGGCUUAU